GAAUUGCGAAAAGUGAUGUGAAUUGCAGAAUCUCGUGAAUCAUCGAAUCUUUGAACGCACCUUGCACUUUCUGGUCCUCCAGAAAGUAUGCCUGUUUGAGUAUCAUGUACACCCCUCACUCUGCUGAAGGGCGCUGUGGCAUCAUCCCCACGGCGCACUCGACAGCGGCAGUGGACCUGGGCUUCCAGCGUGUCUCGUCUCGAGAUGCACCCGGCUGGUCGUCUGAAAUGCAGCGUUGUCGUGCUUGGCACUGUCUGUACCGGCGUAUUAGUUCGCUUCGAUUCUUUACGCAUCAACGGUCAGGCGCAGCUUGCGGCAGCGACCCCACCACAACAGAGCACGGACUGGCGCAGCUGCUUCAGUCUGUCUCCUACUAUUGAUCUCAAAUCAGGCAAGAAUUACCCGCUGAAUUUAA
rnacentral:misc_RNA from 1 species